AACUUUAUAGUUUAUUAAAAACGUUUAAUUUGCGUUUAAAAAAAAAAACCCUUUUAAAGUUA
rnacentral:tRNA from 1 species